rnacentral:lncRNA from 1 species
GGUCAGCGUGGCAAGGGUCAUUGCUGGGUUAGUGGGGUUCCCCUGGGACCAUCCAUCCUGAAGGGACAGGAAUCUGCAGCAGCCCUUUAAGGCCAUCAGAAAGGAUUCGGCAGGACUAUUGGCAGCACGAAAAACACUUGGCCAGAAGAGCUGCAUCAUGGGAAACACACCACAGACAGGAGCCUGCGAUGCCGAGCAGUUCGGGGUCCUCACUGCUGACAGCCUCACUUGAAAGGAAUCUGACAUGGGGAAAGGACUAAAUCAAGGCUGUAUAUUGUCACCCUGCUUAUUUAACUUAUAUACAGAGUACAUCAUGAGAAACACUGAGC